UUAAGCUACUAAGAGCAUAGGGAGAAUGCCUUGGCACCAAGAGCCGAUGAAGGACGUGAUAAGCUGCGAAAAGCUGUGGGGAGAAGCAAAUAUUCAUUAUAUCCACAGAUAUCCGAAUGAGGGAACUCAAACUGGGUAAAAGCCAGUUUAUCCAUACAUAAGUAAAGUAGUGUAUGGAGGGGAACGUAGGGAACUGAAACAUCUAAGUACCUACAGGAAAAGAAAGAAAAAUCGAUUCUGUGAGUAGUGGCGAGCGAAAGCGGAAGAGCCUAAACCAUUAGAAGUAAUUCUGAUGGGGUUAUGGACUACAUAAUUGAUUCAUAAGAUUUAGCAGAACUGUUUGGGAAAGCAGACCAAAGAUAGUGAAAGUCUAGUAAGUGAAAAAUCGAAUGACAUGGUAGUAUCCGGAGUAGUGCGAGACACGGGAAAUCUCGUAUGAAAAAGUGGGGACCACCCCAUAAGGCUAAAUACUACUUGGUGACCGAUAGUGAAGCAGUACCGUGAGGGAAAGGUGAAAAGAACCCCGGGAGGGGAGUGAAAGAGAACCUGAAACCCUAUGUUUACAAGCAGACAAAGCACGUUAAGGUGCGAUGUCGUACUUUUUGUAGAACGGUCCGGCGAGUUAUUUUAUAUGGCAAGGUUAAGUACUAGGAGGUACGAAGCCGAAGCGAGAGCGAGUCUUAAUAGGGCGAAAAAGUCAUAUGAAAUAGACCCGAAACCGAGUGACCUAUCCAUGAGCAGGUUGAAGCUUGAGUAAAAUCAAGUGGAGGACCGAACCCAUAAGCGUUAAAAAGCUUCGGGAUGACUUGUGGAUAGCGGAGAAAUUCCAAUCGAACUCGGAGAUAGCUGGUUCUCCUCGAAAUAGUUUUAGGACUAGCCUUGUUAAGUAGCAUUUGGGGGUAGAGCACUGAAGGAGCUAGGGGCCAAACCAGGUUACCGAACUCUAUCAAACUCCGAAUACCAAGUGUGUAAAAACAGGAGUCAGACUGUGGGAGCUAAGUUCCAUGGUCAAAAGGGAAAGAGCCCAGAUCGUCAAUUAAGGUCCCAAAGAUAUAGUUAAGUGGAAAACGAUGUGAUUUUGCGUAAACAACCAGGAUGUUGGCUUAGAAGCAGCCAUUCAUUUAAAGAGUGCGUAAUAGCUCACUGGUCGAGUGGAGUUGCGCGGAAAAUUACCGGGGCUAAACUAUACACCGAAAUUGCGGAUUCAUGAGUAAUCAUGAGUGGUAGAGGAGCAUUCUAUAGUAGGACGAAGGUAGAUCGAAAGGACUGCUGGACGAGAUAGAAGAGAGAAUGCCGGAAUAAGUAGCGAAAGCAUGGUGAGAAUCCAUGCCAUCGAAAGUCUAAGGUUUCCUGGGGAAGGUUCGUCCGCCCAGGGUAAGUCGGGACCUAAGGAGAGGCCGAAAGGCGUAUCUGAUGGACAGCAGGUAGAGAUUCCUGCACCACCGAAAUACUUAAAAGAUGCAAGGGACACAGGAGUGGAAGGAAAGCGAGGAAGAGGAAAGACUCGUAUCGAAAGAUAUAGUGAAAAAUAAGUAACGAAUUUCCAAGAAGCACGCUGGCGAGAAAAGCUUGUAGAUAUUGUAUAGAGGUGCCCGUACCGCAAACCGACACAGGUAGAUGAGGAGAGGAUCCUAAGAUGAGCGAGAGAAGCAUUGUUAAGGAACUCGGCAAAUUGAACCCGUAACUUAGGGAGAAGGGUUGCCAUAUGGAAGUAUGGUCGCAGAGAAGAGGCCCAAGCAACUGUUUAACAAAAACACAGGUUUCUGCUAAAUCGAAAGAUGAAGUAUAGGAGCUGACGCCUGCCCAGUGCUGGAAGGUUAAGGGGAAGAGUUAAGAGUAAUCUGAAGCUUAGAACCAAAGCCCCAGUGAACGGCGGCCGUAACUAUAACGGUCCUAAGGUAGCGAAAUUCCUUGUCAGGUAAGUUCUGACCCGCACGAAAGGCGUAAUGAUUUGGGCGCUGUCUCGACAAUGUACUCGGCGAAA
rnacentral:rRNA from 1 species